AAGAAGAGAGAUUCUCCUGAACUGUUCCAGGAAGGGCAUUUAUUAUUUCGCACUUAAGUUUAGCGGUGCCAUUAAAAGUUAGCCGGCAGUUAAUCAGAUGGACGAAUGCACCAUUAACUUCUGAAUUUAUUUUCCUAAAGCCGCAUUAAAUAUGGUAAACUAUUCCAACGAUGCGGGUGCAUAAAGGAUGGAAUUACCCAGUGGAAAACGAAAACAACAAAAAAAGAAUGUUUAAAAAACAAACAUCUGACCCCCCAGUUAAACGCAUUUCCAUAAAAAACGAUAGAAAUAAAAAUGAAAAUGUGCACUACUUUAUAGACGGGGUGGGAUCAUCAUGUUACUGAACAUGUGCUGUUAUUCCCCUGUCUUCAACUGUCUUCCAUUCUAAAUUAUGACGUUGGCCUAGAUGUUAAAAACCCACCACUUAUUGUUAUAUUAAUUAUACUAUAAUUAUCUUACUGUAGCACAACCUCCGCCGAAAGAAUUAUCUAAUUACCGAUUGAAUAACUCAAGGUAGUUAGUUAUGCGUUAUUUUAAACAGCAGAGGCAUUCACUAUAUAUAUUUUAAAGCUUUUUGGCAGUGAGGGAUAGAGUUCUGAUAUAGCCAGACAGAACUGCAAUGUAUCUUUCCGAGAAGGGAGAAAGAUAUCAGUCACCGAGGCAACAGGGAGUUUGGGGGGAGGAGUUUUGUCAGGUGUACAGAGGUACUUCCAUCACUCAUUAGACACGCCUCCCCCUGCAAAAUUAAUCAGUUGAGAAAACACGGCGGUGCGCCACGUCAUUAGUUUUCCAAUCCAGCGAAUCAGGCGCCAAGCAACCAUUUCACCACAUCCCCCCUCAUCCCAGAACAAUUAUAAAGGUAAUUCUGAGAUAUUAAUAGAAAUUUAGGGAUGAUUAUUUAGCCAGCUGGAAUAAAUCACAUCUGGACGCCAUUCGGUGGCUUUUGCACUGCUUCAAUGACAAAUCAAAGACAGUUUCACUUGUAGUGUUCAAAUAUUAUUAUUUAGUUAUCAAAUUAAUUAAUUGAAGUGAGUCAGGCUUCAAAGAAACUGCAAACUGUAAAUGACUGCUCCAUAGCAGGUAUAUCGCCUCUCUCCAAAUGUAAAUUUGAGCCUAUUGAUUUUUCCAGUUUGAUUAAAAUUUGGGAACUGUCACCUAAUCUGUUUCAGCCCCCUGCAGGACAAAACUGGUACAGAUGCAGAAGUUAUUACCCCUGACAGUACCUCACAUUUAAAUAUCACAAUGGAGAACCGUCCAGGAUCUUUCGAAAGCAUCGGCUGGGGAAUCGAUUUCAGAGUUCAAAGCAGCACAGAGCCCUCCUGAAAUACCCACUGCAUACAGGAUGUGGAGGGAGGGAGCUUCCAGUGGGCCCAACGCUGAACUUUCAGAGAAAUACCCGUCUACAGAAAUCCAAAGACAAAGACAAUUAGCCACAUAAUUUUAUCAGCUGAUCUUAAUGUGCAUGGACAACUUCUCUAAAUAUUUGUUUGUGUGCGUGCGUGUGUGUAUGUGUGUGUGCAUGAGAGUGUGUGUGUGUGUGUGUGUUUGUGAAUGUGUGUGUCUGUGUCUGCAGGUGUGUGUGUGUGCGUGUGUGUCUGAGUUUGUGUGCGUGCUUGUGCGUGCCUGUGCGUGUGUGUGCAUGCAUGUGUACACGUGUGUGUGAGUGUGUGUGUGCAAAAUGCGAAGAAGCAUCAAUAACAUUGACUCAGUCUUGCAUUCUAUAAUGCCACUUCUCCUAGUUUUAAAGUACGUAUUGCUCAGAGCUGUGGUAAAUUACCUAAACACCUUUGAAUUUGGUUUUGUCAGGAUAUAGUUACUGUAAUAAUGUCGGUCCACAAUAACUGAGCAGUCAACAGAGAAACUUUGCUGUUGAAGAUCUAUUGCCUCACACCAGUUCCAAUGAAAACAAGUUAAUAAAAUUUAGCCCACUUUGAAA